GACGAACGCUGGCGGCGUGCUUAACACAUGCAAGUCGAACGGAAAGGCCCUUCGGGGUACUCGAGUGGCGAACGGGUGAGUAACACGUGGGUGAUCUGCCCUGCACUUUGGGAUAAGCCUGGGAAACUGGGUCUAAUACCGAAUAGGACCACGCGCUUCAUGGUGUGUGGUGGAAAGCUUUUGCGGUGUGGGAUGGGCCCGCGGCCUAUCAGCUUGUUGGUGGGGUAAUGGCCUACCAAGGCGACGACGGGUAGCCGGCCUGAGAGGGUGACCGGCCACACUGGGACUGAGAUACGGCCCAGACUCCUACGGGAGGCAGCAGUGGGGAAUAUUGCACAAUAGGCGCAAGCCUGAUGCAGCGACGCCGCGUGAGGGAUGACGGCCUUCGGGUUGUAAACCUCUUUCAAUAGGGACGAAGCGCAAGUGACGGUACCUAUAGAAGAAGCACCGGCCAACUACGUG
rnacentral:rRNA from 1 species